rnacentral:rRNA from 1 species
AUUGAACGCUGGCGGCAGGCCUAACACAUGCAAGUCGAGCGAGCGGCGGACGGGUGAGUAAUGUCUGGGAAACUGCCUGAUGUAGGGGGAUAACUACUGGAAACGGUAGCUAAUACCGCAUACCACCAUAUGUGCCCAGAUGGGAUUAGCUAGUCGGUGGGGUAAUGGGUCACCUAGGCGACGAUCCCUAGCUGGCCUGAGAGGAUGACCAGCAAAACUGGAACUGAGACACGGGCCAGACUCCUACGGGAGGCAGAAGUGGGGAAUAUUGCACAAUGGGCGAAAGCCUGAUGCAGCAAUGCCGCGUGUAUGAAGAAGGCCUUCGGGUUGUAAAGUACUUUUAGCGAGGAGGCGUUACUCGAAGAAGAAGCACCGGCUAACUCCGUGCCAGCAGCCGCGGUAAUUC